rnacentral:rRNA from 1 species
GACGAACGCUGGCGGCGUGCCUAAUACAUGCAAGUCGAGCGGACCUCUUCGGAGGUCAGCGGCGGACGGGUGAGUAACACGUGGGCAACCUGCCUGUAAGACUGGGAUAACACCGGGAAACCGGUGCUAAUACCGGAUAAUCCUUUUCCUCACAUGAGGGGAAGCUGAAAGACGGUUUCGGCUGUCACUUACAGAUGGGCCCGCGGCGCAUUAGCUAGUUGGUGGGGUAACGGCCCACCAAGGCGACGAUGCGUAGCCGACCUGAGAGGGUGAGCGGCCACACUGGGACUGAGACACGGCCCAGACUACUACGGGAGGCAGCAGUAGGGAAUCUUCCGCAAUGGACGAAAGUCUGACGGAGCAACGCCGCGUGAGCGAAGAAGGCCUUCGGGUCGUAAAGCUCAGUUGUCAGGGAAGAACACGUACCGGAGUAACUGCCGGUACCUUGACGGUACCUGACCAGAAAGCCACGGCUAACUACGUGCCAGCCGCCGCAGUAAGAC